UCCCUGGUAGUAUAUCGGUUAGUACACGCGCCUGUCAUCCCGUCUUCGCCAGUGAGCGCGCGCGAAAGCGGGGUUCGACUCCCCGCCAGGGAG